AACGCACAUUGCGCCCGCCAGUAUUCUGGCGGGCAUGCCUGUUCGAGCGUCAUUUCAACCCUCAAGCCCCCUGUGGACUUGGUGUUGGGGACCGGCGACAACCUUCUGUCGCCGCCCCCUAAAUGAAUUGGCGGCCCCGUCGCGGCCCUCCUCUGCGUAGUAGCACACACCUCGCAACAGGAGCCCGUCGGUGGCCACUGCCGUAAAACACCCCAAACUUUUUAGAGUUGACCUCGAAUCAGGUAGGAAUACCCGCUGAACUUAA
rnacentral:misc_RNA from 1 species